rnacentral:rRNA from 1 species
GACGAACGCUGGCGGCGUGCUUAACACAUGCAAGUCGAGCGAUGAAGUUCCUUCGGGAGUGGAUUAGCGGCGGACGGGUGAGUAACACGUGGGUAACCUGCCUCGUAGAGGGGAAUAGCCUUCCGAAAGGAAGAUUAAUACCGCAUAAGAUUGUAGCUUCGCAUGAAGCAGCAAUUAAAGGAGCAAUCCGCUAGGGGAUGGACCCGCGUCGCAUUAGCUAGUUGGUGAGGUAACGGCUCACCAAGGCGACGAUGCUUAGCCGACCUGAGAGGGUGAUCGGCUACAAUGGUACUGAGACACGACCCAGACGCCUACGGGGGGCAGCAGUGGGGAAUAUUGCACAAUGGGGGAAAGCCUGAUGCAGCAACGCAGCGUGAGUGAUGACGAUCUUCGGAUUGUAAAACUCUGUCUUUAGGGACGAUAAUGACGGUACCUGAGGAGUAAGCCACGGCUAACUACGUGCCAGCAGCCGCCGUAA